AUGUGUGUCCCAAAGGAAAAGGAUGGAAUGGGUUUUAGAGACUUGCAUUGUUUUAAUUUGGCUCUUCUCGCAAAGCAGUGUUGGAGGUUGUUAUGUGAACCAAAUUCUUUAUGUGCUAGAGUUUUGAGAGCCAAAUAUUUUCCUGAUGGAGACCUUCUUAACUGCGGCCUUAAGAAGGGUAGUUCUUAUACAUGGCAGAGCUGGAGUGGAAUUCAGUCUUUUAAACGAGGGCAUAUUUGGAGAGUUGGAGAUGGGGCACAAAUUAACAUCUGGGAAGACCCUUGGAUACCAAGUAGUCCUACUCGAAAGUUAAUGACACCAAGAGGUAACGUCGUGAUCACAAAAGUUUAUGAACUCAUUGAUACAGAAAAUAGAGUGUGGGAUGAACAGUUGAUAUCGGAGUUGUUUUGGCCUAUUGAUGUGCAACACAUAUUAAAUAUCCCACUGGCUUUGGGGAUGAUGGGUGAUUUUGUGUCAUGGCACCAUAACAGAAGUGGAAUAUUUUCGGUUAGAUCGGCAUACCAUGAAGAGUGGGAGCAUCAACACGGACAAAAGUUGAGGAUGACUAACUCUAUACAAGCCUCAAGUACUAGUCCAGUUUGGCGUACCAUUUGGAAAUUGCGUGUGCCGGUUAAAAUAAAAAUUCAUGUAUGAAAAACUUUGCUUGGUGCCAUCCCUUUUAAUGGAGUCCUUGCUAACAGGCAUAUGAUCACAAGCUCUCAAUGUCCUCUCUGCACUUUGGAUUGUGAGAGCAUUAGACAUGCCAUGUUCUUGUGCCCUAGAGUUCAAGAAAUCUGGAGGAUAUUGGGACUGCAAGAUGUGGUUCAGGAGAUGUGUGCGCUGGAAAGGGAUGGCGGAUCGGUGCUGGCUGAUCUUCUUCUAUCAACGAACAAUAACAUGGCUCAUAUGAAUGAUGUUCAACGCGAUGACCUUGUGGCCACUAGAGUGUGGUACGUUUGGUGGGAAAGACGCUGCUACACUCAUGGUGAAUAUGUGUAUGAACCAAGCAGGUCAGCGCAAGCAAUUUUAGCUCUUGCUAAGAAUUUUUCCAAGGCAAAGUCGAAGCAAGCGAAACUGAGAAGAUAUGGAUGGAGUAAGCCACCGGAGGAAGUUAUCAAACUUAAUGUCGAUGCCACUUUUGAUCCUGAUAGGGGAACAGGGGGUACGGGUGCAAUAUUAUGA
rnacentral:rRNA from 1 species